UGGGGGUACCUGAAGUCGGUGACCGUAACAGGAGCUGCCUAGGGUAAAACAGGUAACUAGGGCUAAGUCGUAACAAGGUAGCCGUACCGGAAGGUGCGGCUGGAACAUCUCAUUUUAGAGCGUCUUAAGACGUUAAACAAACAAGUAUCGUAAGAUACACAGUACUUAUUUAAAGUUUUUAGCUUUAGUUUUUUUAUUUGGUUGCUUAUAUUAUAUAAAUACAAAACCCACUAGAAAUUAGUAUCAGAGGGAGAGAGAGACAAGAGGAUAGAGAAAAGAAGAAAGAUAUAGGCGUAAUAGUCUAGGUUCUAUGUUCUUUUAUCUUUAAGUCUAAUGAAGUCUCGUAGCUCAGCUGGUUAGAGCGCUACACUGAUAAUGUAGAGGUCGGCAGUUCGAGCCUGCCCGAGACUACUAAUUAUAGGGAAUUAUAGAUUAUGAAUGAUAGAUUUUAAAUUAUAAACAGAUUGUUUCAUUUAAAAUUCAUCAUUUAAAAUUUAAAAUUUCUACUAGAGGGGGAAUUAGCUCAGCUGGCUAGAGCGCCUGCCUUGCACGCAGGAGGUCAAGGGUUCGACUCCCUUAUUCUCCACAGUUUUGAGAGUUUGAUUUAAAAGUAAGAUGGAUAGAGCCAAAACGAAUAUCCAUUUAUCAGACACUCGGAAAGACAUAAGAUCAUUGACAUUAACGGUAAAAAUAUCACAAAGAGAAAACCGAGCGCAAUUAAGCGUUUGAGUUUACAAAAUAGUUUACUAGAGAUAGUAAACAAAUAAUACUGAACUAAUUAAUAAUUAGGAAAGAAAUCGUUAAGGGCGUAUGGCGGAUGCCUAGGCUUUCAGAGGCGAAGAAGGACGCGGUAAGCUGCGAAAAGCUCGGGGGAUUGGCACACACGAA
rnacentral:sRNA from 1 species